CCUACGGGCGGCUGCAGUGGGGAAUAUUGGACAAUGGGGGGAACCCUGAUCCAGCCAUGCCGCGUGUGUGAAGAAGGCCCUCGGGUUGUAAAGCACUUUCAGUGAGGAAGAACGCCUGGUGGUUAAUACCCAUCAGGAAAGACAUCACUCACAGAAGAAGCACCGGCUAACUCCGUGCCAGCAGCCGCGGUAAUACGGAGGGUGCGAGCGGUAAUCGGAAUUACUGGGCGUAAAGCGCGCGUAGGUGGCUUGAUAAGCCGGUUGUGAAAGCCCCGGGCUCAACCUGGGAACGGCAUCCGGAACUGUCAAGCUAGAGUGCAGGAGAGGAAGGUAGAAUUCCCGGUGUAGCGGUGAAAUGCGUAGAGAUCGGGAGGAAUACCAGUGGCGAAGGCGGCCUUCUGGACUGACACUGACGCUGAGGUUCGAAAGCGUGGGUAGCAAACAGGAUUAGAUACCCGGGUAGUC
rnacentral:rRNA from 1 species